ACGUACUGCGCGAACGUUAUUCGGAAUCACUGGGCUUACAGGGUGCGUAGGCGGCUUUUCAGGUCUGAUGUGAAAUCCCCCGGCUCAACCGGGGAAUGGCAUUGGAAACCGAAAGGCUUGAGGUAGCUAGAGGCAUGCGGAACUUCCGGUGGAGCGGUGAAAUGUGUUGAGAUCGGAAGGAACACCAGAGGCGAAAGCGGCAUGCUGGGGCUAUUCUGACGCUGAGGCACGAAAGCCAGGGGAGCGAACGGG
rnacentral:rRNA from 1 species